rnacentral:rRNA from 1 species
UACGGGGGGGGCAAGCGUUGUUCGGAAUUACUGGGCGUAAAGGGCUCGUAGGUGGCCAACUAAGUCAGACGUGAAAUCCCUCGGCUCAACCGAGGAACUGCGCUUGAAACUACCAGACUCGAGGGAGAUAGAGGAAAGCGGAACUGAUGGUGGAGCGGUGAAAUGCGUUGAUAUCAUCAGGAACACCGGUGGCGAAGGCGGCUUUCUGGGUCUUACCUGACGCUGAGGAACGAAAGCCAGGGGAGCGAACGGG